AUUGAACGCUGGCGGCAUGCUUUACACAUGCAAGUCGAACGGUAACAGCACUUCGGUGGCUGACGAGUGGCGAACGGGUGAGUAAUACAUCGGAACGUGCCUCGUAGUGGGGGAUAACUACUCGAAAGAGUAGCUAAUACCGCAUGAGAUCUAAGGAUGAAAGCAGGGGACCUCCGGGCCUUGCGCUACUAGAGCGGCUGCUGGCAGAUUAGGUAGUUGGUGGGAUAAAAGCUUACCAAGCCGACGAUCUGUAGCUGGUCUGAGAGGACGAGCAGCCACACUGGGACUGAGACACGGCCCAGACUCCUACGGGAGGCAGCAGUGGGGAAUUUUGGACAAUGGGCGCAAGCCUGAUCCAGCAAUGCCGCGUGCAGGAUGAAGGCCUUCGGGUUGUAAACUGCUUUUGUACGGAACGAAAAGCCCUCUUCUAAUACAGGAGGGUCAUGACGGUACCGUAAGAAUAAGCACCGGCUAACUACGUG
rnacentral:rRNA from 1 species